UACUGUUCAGUUCGCAGAGUUAUACAAGAAAUAAAUUUCAAAAACAAAAGUAGCUUAAAUUGUUCCUUAUUACAACAGCUAUCUGCCAGAGAAAAUCCCGUCAAAAUCGGUCCAGCCGUUUCAGAGAUUGGCCGGAACAAACAGACAUACAGACA